rnacentral:lncRNA from 1 species
AGGCAAUGUACUCUUCACAUAUAAAAUAUCACAUUUAACCUAGAAAUUCCAAAUCAAACCAUUUUAGACAACUGAAAGAAUAAAAUGGGAUGAUGACUUAGGAAACUGCUUUUUGUAAACUUUUAAGUUCUAGGUUAUUGUGAAUAAUUAAGAAUACCAGGAAAAAUACAGUUAAACUUUAUGUCUGACUCUCGGCCUUCUCCCUGAACAAUUACAGGGAAGGGGAAGAACUGUGUAUCAACUUGGAAUCAGAUUCUCUGUUUUGUGCCAUUUAAUUUAGACACUUAUUUUAAUAUAAGCACUUUUGCUUUUACUUUGGCAAUCAGCAUGCAAUUUUAAUUAGCACUUGGAACACAGCUGAAUACAUUGAUGAGGCACAAGGCAUGAAGAAAUACGUUCCUAACGGCCUGCUUGAGGACUCUGGCAGCAUUCAAAAAAGACACUCUCAAUAUAAUGUUCGAUGCUUCUGAGAAAUCAUCCUCAUUGGCAUUUAUACUCAUACGUUCAAUCAUUUCAGUGUUUUGAAAUGUCA